UCGGCAAUGGGGGAAACCCUGACCGAGCAACGCCGCGUGAAUGAUGAAGGUCUUCGGAUUGUAAAAUUCUGUGGUAAGAGAAGAAAGAUAUAAAGAGGAAAUGCUUUGUAUUUGACGGUAUCUUGCUAGAAAGCCACGGCUAACUACGUGCCAGCAGCCGCGGUAAUACGUAGGUGGCAAGCGUUAUCCGGAAUUACUGGGCGUAAAGAGUGAGCAGGCGGUUAGAUAAGUCUAUGGUUAAAUGCAACAGCUCAACUGUUGUUCGCUAUAGAAACUAUUUAACUAGAGUGCGGGAGAGGUAAGUGGAACUCCAUAUGUAGCGGUGGAAUGCUUAGAUAUAUGGAAGAACACCAGAGGCGAAGGCGGCUUACCAGUCCGUAACUGACGCUCAGUCACGAAAGCGUGGGGAGCAAAUAGGAUUAGAUAUCCUAGUAGUCCACGCCGUAAACGAUGAGAACCUGAUGCAGGAGAUAUUCUGUGUCGAAGCUAACGCGUUAAGUUCUCCGCCUGGGUACUACGUUCGCAAGAAUAAAACUUAAAGGAAUUGACGGGCGCCCGCACAAGCAGUGGAGCAUGGGGUUUAAUUCGUCGAUACACGAAAAACCUUACCAGGGCUUGACAUCCCGCUAAAAGCCUUAGAAAUAAGGAAAUAGUUAUAGCGGUGACAGGUGGUGCAUGGUUGUCGUCAGCUCGUGCCGUGAGGUGUUAGGUUAAGUCCUCAAACGAGCGCAACCCUUGUCUUUAGUUGCCAUUAUUAAUUUAGGAACUCUAGAGAGACUGCCGGCGCAAGCCGGAGGAAGGCGGGGAUGACGUCAAAUCAUCAUGCCCUUUAUGCCCUGGGCCACACCCGUGCUACAAUGGUCGGUACAAAGAGAAGCAACACUGUGAGGUGAAGCAAAUCCCAUAAAGCCGAUCUCAAUUCGGAUUGAAGUCUGCAACUCGACUUCAUGAAGCUGGAAUUGCUAGUAAUCGCAGAUCAGCAACGCUGCGGUGAAUACGUUCUCGGGCGUUGUACACACUGCCCGUCACACCA
rnacentral:rRNA from 1 species